GUGUGCUGUCUGUUUGCACUGGCCAAAAAGUUAUACGCCAAGGUUAUCUACAAAGGGUUCACUGUAACAAACAGUGAUGCGUUCAACAGUCGUUGUACAUAGGUCCAAUAUAACUAACACUGACGCUUAAUUGAUGCCAGAAAUCACAAGGAAAAUCACAAGUGAUAUUUGUUUAAAAGUUUAGAAUUUUCUCACAAAGCUCUUCAGCUAUCUUAACAGUUGUGCCGAGAUCCAGUUACACUGAAUAAGCUUAUACAACAAGCUAAAAUUGACGAGUAGAAUUCGAGCAAAUCGCUAUGACCCAACAUCCAGGUAAAACAAAAAUAACUUGCAACGAGCGUGAUUAAAUAUUGCAGUGGUAUGGUUUUGAAUGAAAGAAACCAACAAACCAAGUGUCGGCAGCAUAGCAUCAUAGAUCGUGUGGCCUAAUGGAUAAGGCGUCGGACUUCUAAAUAGAGUGGCAAUCCGAAAAUUGCGGGUUCGACUCCCGCCACGAUUAAUUUGAAGCUCACCUGAGAUCAAUCAGUAAUACGAUAGGGCAGCGUUAGUAACAAAAACUGUUGUAAACAAUUUGCUAGAAAUGUGGCGUAUUUUAAGUUGCAAUUACAAAACUAAUAUCGAAAUAAAAUUAGCGAAGUUGUA